GGCAACCCAAGUCUCCUGCUCACUCCAGCUCCAUGGCCGCUGCCAUCUUAGUUGGGUUAAUUUGCAUACUCGCUCCUGAUUGGCUGGUAGGCGUGGCUUUGCAGGUGUGGCUUGAGCGUAGCAAAGGGACGGUUAAUUUGGAUGUUUCUCUUUUAUUAUAUAGGAUAGGAACUAGCAGAGAGGACCUACCACAGGUACAGUGCCAUUCCUUAUUAGCUAUCUUUGCCCUUUUCAGUACCUGUCCAUGCCUCAAUGGUAAAAAUAAAACAGAUGAUAGCCACAGGUUUGGAGAUUCGAUCCCUGCUUUAGCUCAGCAGAUGUGACCCAGUCGUUAUGUCAGUCUUUUUAGGAGAGCUCUAGGCAUUAAGUAAAUGCUAUCUGACUCCUGUUCAGUGCCAAAAUGGGAUGGCCUCUAGAGGAAUCUCCUUUAAAAACAUUCAAAGUGUUAUUUCUUCACCCAGGUUUCUUGAAAGCACAGCAUUAUUGCCCUUACCAUGCCUCCGCAUGAGACAGGUCCCAGCCGCCAGCAUCCCCGUGGCUGCCAGUGGGGCCAGGAGGAGGAGAGGCAGCCAGCCACUAAGCAUGCUUCUACCUGCAGAAACAAAACCAAACCAAAUGACCUCAUGUUUGGAAACCAAGAUUAUUACUCUAUACUUUGCAGAAGUUUAGACCCCUUUAAAACCAAGGGUCACUAGAUCUCUCAGUCUGAAGAAUGGUAUGUUUUCCUACAGCGUCCACAUCUUUCACUCAGUUCUCAAGAGGGAUAUGGGAGGAGGCGGAGAGCAGUCCUCUCAGUUCACUUUGGCUUCCCACUCCGUGUUUACACCGUGGUAACCAGAGUUCACAUUCAUUUUUUGUUGUUGUUGUUGUUCUUUGACAAAUUAAUGUUAUUCUGGGCACAGAUACUUAAUAUCUGGUAAACAGAGAUGGCAUUUUUAAAGGCUGUAUUGUAAGACUUGGAUAUGUGGGGGAUAUUGCCACCCCUCACGGAAUGCCAAGGACCAGGUAAGCUCAGGCACACAGAUGUGCUCAAGAACCCACAGUCACUGUGGCCACACAUUCAGGACUGUUCAACACCUGGGUUGUCUUCAGUUGAUUUGGCUGCAUUUCAAGAACACCUUCCAAGUGUUGACUCCACUCUUGGGCUAAUUCCAGAACUGUAAAUGGAAGCACUAACAUCUCUAAAUCCGGAGGCACCUUUUCCAGAACAUGCUGCUCUUCGUUCCAAUGAGGCAUGUCUUCUGGUGCCAGUAUUCCUAAUUUGUUAUCCAAAUGUUGGCCAUGUGACCCCAUCAAGUUACAGCCACAGCGAGGCCUGGGCCACUGGGACUAAUAAGAUAAAUGUAGGGAAGUGCACGUUCUCUCAUUCACUCAGUCCUGUUAUGCUCUUGACUUUUUUUCAGCAGAUCCUUGUGGCUCUGAACAUCCAUUUUGCACUGUUUAUUUUUCCCCUUCUUGUAUAUAUCCUGCUUCAUAAAGGACUUGGGGUGAUUUUAUAAAUAAAGCCUUCAUUCUUAUUCCAACUGCAGGCUCUGGGCAGCUCUGACAUCUGUCCCUGCCCGCUAGUUUAGCAUCCACAGGCAGGGACUCUGUCCCACCCCCAUGUGCAUCCUGUCAUACUGAUGGGGGGGUGACAGUGGCCCUCAUGUCCUGAACCUCUUUGAUCAUCUGGUGACAGUGACUGGGCACUUACUGUUAUCCAAAGGGAAGGACGUAUCUGUUUGUGGACAAAGUACAACGGUUCCUUUGCGACGGAUGCAGUCGUUGCCACAGGUGCGGAAAUACGGAGUCAACUGAGGGAAAAGGAGAGGCUCAGAAAGUACCACCAUGUGUCAGAGCAGAAUCUCAGCACAAUUCCCACUUCUACCAAAACUUCGCUCCCCUUUUUUUCUGGUUUCAACCCUGUCCCCACUCCCCACCCCUUGUAAUAUGACAUUUUCCCCUUGGUCACACUUCAGUGACAAAGCCCUAAAUUCCAAACCAGUGACCCAAGACUGAAGCACCUUCUAAGUCUCCUGGGGUCUGCACCUGAACUUUGUACAUGUUGCUAACAUGUUACUUUCCAUAUCUAUGUGGGUUAGGUCACAUCCCAUAUAUACACAAAUAGUUCCUCAAACAAGCGGCAGCAGGGCUCCUAUUAAUUUCCACUUCAUGAAAGAAAGGGACUGGGAAAGUCUGGUUCCCUGGAAAAGGGUGCGGACAGGCGUCUGCUCCCUCUGGCAGGGCAGGGCACUGCCUUUAUGUUCCAUGGAAUGGGAAGCAAAAGCUCCUCCUAUCUUGGGUGUGGCUGUGCCUGACUGAGACCCUCCACAGCCCCACAUCAUAAACUCAGAUUUGAAUGGGACCGGAGAGCAUCUACUCGUGCAACUUCCUCCCUUCCACCUGAGUAAACUGAGGCCUGUAAGGACAAGGCAGUUGCCCUCCAAAGCUCGUACAUUAAUCAGGAACCCAAGUCUUGGCAUUUCACAUUGUUACUUCAUUUUGCAGUUAAAACAGGCUAGGGGAAAUAAAUGGUACUCUUGUCUCAGAAUUACUCAUACACUUUGUAACAGAAAAUGAAAACAAAAAUCCUUUGGAAAGUUAACAUCCACUAAUAAAAGCAAAAGGGGCCAUAACUGUAAGGUCAGCCUCCUGACCUCCCCACCCCUAGACCAGCCAAGGAUUUCCCAUUAACAUCACUUGAUGUGUGACAGCUGCAGAAAUGCACAGGAUGCAAACUCACUACUACAACUUUGAAAGGACUCAUCAAAAGCCACCAACAGUGGAGAAACAGUCUUCCCCUCCCAGAGUCAUCACUGAACUUUACCUGGACCACAGCACCUUCACUCUCCUGGGUCACUGGAACCCUGACAGACACGUGAGUUAGUUUGCUCUGGUGCAGAGAAGGGAGACAAAAGCAAGAACGAUGUGCCAUGUGAGUGAGUAGAUCAAAGAUGGCCAGUGAAGAAACCACUCUUCCCAAACCCCUUCAGUGCAUCAGACUAUGUGAGCACGGAUUCAUUUCCUGCGUCGGACCCUCUACCUUGGUUGCAACUUAGGCUCACAGGGACAUUUCCAGGGAAGUGCCAGGGACUUGUUUUUCUCUAUUGAAUGAAUAAGAAACACCCACCACAUUUGGACAGGAAACAGUCCUGCCCGGGGUCUCUCAAAAGAAAGGAAUCCUAGAGUGUCCGCAUUGCUCUUCAGCAAGGAGACCACUUCCGGCCCAGGCGCAGCUCCAGGACUGGCUGAAGGUCCUCAGACCUCUUCACACCCCCAAUGUCCUCUACAUCUGCUAACAAGGAGACCACGUGCAGCUCAGCCUGACAGGGUACACAGGGAUGCCUUGUGGGAUGGGGGUGCCUAAAAGAUAGGGACCAAUUCUGCUAAAUACCACUAGCCUCUUGAGCAUCCUCACACUACAUUACCCAGAGAUUUAAACAAGUCCUACAAUCUUUGGAAAUUGGACACUUGGGACUGUUUGUCCUGAAGGGGCUGAUUUCAAAAUUGAAAGGGUAGGGGCAGGUUCUAGUGGCCUCGCAUGUAAGAGGUGACCCCUGUGAGGACACAGGUUGAGAACAUGCUUUCAGGUCACUGCUUCAGCUAGUACUCGCACCAGGAGUGUUUGCUAAUCCACAUAGAAGGUUCCCAGGGCCCCACGGCCACAGAUCAGAGAUACAGGUGCCCGAGCAGGUGGAAGGGCUUACAGACUCCCCUCCAAUCAGGAAGGGCCUUCGAUCAGCACCACCAUAUGUGGUUAGAGCUAAAAUGUGGUUCAGCCACCAGGGUGUGGCAUGGUUCUGUGACUUGCUUACUACAUAAACCCACUCAGGUCUGUCCUUCCCUGGACACACUGGCUGCGGGAUUCAGUGGGCAAAGCCCUGGCGGGUCAGCCUUCACUGCCUGAGCCGCUUGGAUACAUAGUCCCCUGCCCUCACCUCCGUUUCUCAUGGAAGAUGGGCUGAGCUUGUUGGCUCAAGUUACGAGUUCCUUCAAAUAACAAAAGCAAGUGCUGUAUUACUUACCUGCCUGGAUGCACUGGGUUUUGUAUUUCAUUAGAUGGUCUAGGCAGCCUGGAAAUUUGAAUGAAACUUUUUACAUUUUAGAAAAGGUAUCUGUGCUCCACACCCUUGCCAACAAGUACACACACAUAUAUGCUCAUCACACCCCAUACGAAUUGCCAGAACAUUCAAGAUGUGAGGUAAGAUAGCAGAUUUAAGUGGGACACGAACAUUUUACUGUUGAACAGAAGAUUAUCUACUCGUGAAAUGAUAACCAGAGUCUAACUUAAAUGCAGCCUUUAUCACAACAGGAUCUAUGAUCCCCCAAGAAGAUUCAAACCAGCCUUUAAAAUGAGGUUGGGUAACGUGUAAAUACUGCCCCUACCUGGCGGUGGAGCUUAAUCUAUAACACUCUCCCAUCCCAAGUGGGGGAGACUUAGUGACUUGUUUCCCAAAACUAGACUUGGGAAGGGGAAACAGUAGAUUUACAUGGAGAAGACUGGCAGGUGCCACUUAACCAAGUGAUAAAGGUCAACACUACCAAUGGUGUGUGGAUGUCACCUACCCCUGAUGGGGUGCCAUAAGAAGGGUGCCUCACCCCUGAAGUAUACUCAGAUGGGGGACAUUAUACGGACGCCUGACCAAGCACUCCUCAAGACUGUUAAGGCUAUGAGGAACAAAGACUAAGAAGCUGUCACAGGCCAGAGGAGACGGGACAGCAACAGGACAUUCAUGGAAAAGCAGGCAAAAUCCAAAUAAAGUCUGGAGCUUAGUUAACAGAAAUGUACAGACGUUGGUUUAUUAGUUGUGACCUCUGUCCCAUGGUAAUGUGAGAUGUUAAUGAUAAGGGAAACAUUAAAGGGUAAAUGGAAA